rnacentral:rRNA from 1 species
CAAUAGCGUAUAUUUAAGUUGUUGCAGUUAAAAAGCUCGUAGUUGGAUUUCGGAUGGGACUUGCCGGUCCGUCGUUUCGAUGUGCACUGGCCAGUCCUAUCUUGUUGUCGGGGACUAGCUCCUGGGCUUCACUGUCCGGGACUAGGAGCUGACGAGGUUACUUUGAGUAAAUUAGAGUGUUCAAAGCAAGCCUACGCUCUGAAUACAUUAGCACGGAAUAACACGAUAGGACUCUGGCUUAUCUUGUUGGUCUGUGAGACCAGAGUAAUGAUUAAGAGGGACAGUCGGGGGCAUUCGUAUUUCAUUGUCAGAGGUGAAAUUCUUGGAUUUAUGAAAGACGAACUUCUGCGAAAGCAUUUGUCAAGGAUGUUUUCAUUA